rfam:Danio rerio chromosome 4, GRCz11 reference primary assembly.
GCAUUGGUGGUUCAGUGGUAGAACUCUCGCCUGCCACGCGGUAGACCUUGAGUCGCCUCCUGGCUAAUACA